GAUUAGAGUUUGAGCCUGGCUCAGGAUAAACGCUGGCGGUGUGCUUUAUGCAUGCAAGUCGAACGAUUCUGAUUUAUCAGAAUAGUGGCGAACGGGUGAGUAACACGUAAGUAACCUGCCCCUAAGUAAAGGAUAACUCUGAGAAAUUGGAGCUAAUACUGUAUGUGGUGGUGGGGCUAAGGCUCCAUCACUAAAGCCUACGGGCGCUUGGGGAGGGGCUUGCGUCCGAUUAGCUAGUUGGUAAGGUAAUGGCCUACCAAGGCAACGAUCGGUAGCUGGUUUAAGAGGACGGUCAGCCACAUUGGGACUGAGACACGGCCCAGACUCCUACGGGAGGCAGCAGCAAGGAAUAUUGUGCAAUGGGCGAAAGCCUGACACAGCGACACCGCGUGGGGGAUGAAGGCCUUCGGGUCGUAAACCCCUUUUCCCAGAGAAGAAAAAUGACGGUACCUGGGGAAUAAGUCUUGGCUAACUACGUGCCAGCAGCCGCGGUAAGACGUAGAAGGCAAGCGUUAUCCGGAUUUAUUGGGCGUAAAGAGGGUGUAGGCGGUUCUUCAAGUCGGAUGUAAAAUCUCCCGGCUCAACUGGGAGGGAUCAUUCGAUACUGUUGGGCUAGAGUGCAGCAGGGGGAGAUGGAAUUCCCGGUGUAGUGGUGAAAUGCGUAGAUAUCGGGAGGAACACCAGUGGCGAAGGCGGUCUCCUGGGCUGUUACUGACGCUGAGACCCGAAGGCGUGGGGAGCGAACAGGAUUAGAUACCCUGGUAGUCCACGCAGUAAACGAUGGACACUAGGUAUGGGGGGUAUCGACCCCCUCCGUGCCGAAGUUAACGCUUUAAGUGUCCCGCCUGGGGAGUACGGUCGCAAGACUAAAACUCAAA
rnacentral:rRNA from 1 species